CUGCCUUAUAAAGAUGAAUAUCAUUCUCAUGAAGAAUGCUAGCCACAUGAAAGAUUAAAGUAUGCAUUUUUUCCUUCUAGCAGUGAUAAAAUAUCAACAGUUGCCUGUUUACCUGUGACCUGGGAACACGGCAACAUGCCAUGUUUCCAAAUAUCCCCAUAAAUAAAGCUAAAAUUCAGCAAAAUUGGGCAGAUAAUUAUAGGUUUGCAGAACUAACAAACAUGCAAGCACACGCUACCCUGCCUCCUCAAUUCUAACAGCAGAGUUUUUCUUUCCUGGAGAAAUCUGAAAUUUAAGAUUGUAUUCAGCCUGCAAAAUAGCCUUAGACUGUUAGAGCCUUAGAAUACCUCCAUGGACUAUGGCAAAAGCUCUUUGGCUUCGAGCUAACACGACUCUCCUGCCUGUACACAAGGGAAUAAGGAUCUGACUCUCUGGAGUGUGAGGUGCAUGGAUGUGUGUGUGUGUGUGUGUGUGUGUGUGUGUGUGUGUUUGUGUGUGUGUGUUACUUGCGUUCGGCAUUCAAGGCCGCCCUAUACAUAGCAGCGCAAUCCUCGGGAUGCAGCUGUCUCCGGGGCUCGGGCAGCUGUGGGACAGCAGGGCAGCUGGAGGUCGCUGCACCGCGGCGUCACCCUGGACCCUGACAGAGCUUGGCUGGGCUGAGUCCUGGCCCGGCACCGCCUGGGCUGCGGUCCCCCAGCUCCCGACGCCCUCCGGGAUGCACCUCGGGCUCGCCCAGUUGGGGGAGCGCUUUGUCCACCCUCAUCCCUCGCUCCGGACCAGGCUCCGGGACUUUCUCCUCCCGAGUUCGCCCGUGUCUGCUCCACCCCGGGUGUAGCGUGGAUGUGGCCAGGCGGCGGGGAGCACCCCCAAAGGAAGUGUGGAGUGGAAUCAGCGCCUCUUAAGAGUGAACUCACUAACAAAAGGACGUGGGAUGAAAGGAGUUGUCUUUGGCAGCGACAGUCCCCCCACAACAAACAAAAAGCAAGUAAAUAAACAAAAAAAUCUUGCUCUGUUCCUACCCCACAUGCUUCCCAUUCCUAAUGUUUUCUAAAUCUGUUUUUUGUUUUGUUUUGUUUUGUUUUUUUAAUUGUGCAGAUUUGCCUUCGUUUUAGUCAAUCACUAAUCAGCAGACCUUUGGGAUUCCGAGGUAGGGAGAGCGGUGGGUCUCAGAACACACCCGGGCUGUGCAACAAGGUAUGUGUUUACUCUUCUUUAAAACUGGGCAUUACUGUGUGACAGACACGGCCUAGCCUGAUGGGUGUAAUCUUGCGUCCCGCGGUACUUGAACUCUGAAUUUACCCUGGGGAGCAGUGUGACUUGUAAAUCCAGCUUCUGGCCCAGCAAAUUGCUAGCUGUUACCCAAGAGCUCAGACAAUUCCUGUGCCCCUUUGGAGUUGAUUUAGACUUCGAUACCCCAGGGAUCUGUAGAGUUUAGCAUUCUAUCAGCCGGAGAUUGCCCGAGACCUUCCACAUGCCUCCAAAAAAAUACAUUUUCCAUUGAUUAUUUUACAUUUUGUUUCUGGAACAUUGCAUUUUCUACAAGAGCUUAACGCAAUGGGCAUGUGAGGAGCAGACCCGUGGUGUUCUGCAGUGGGGGAAAGAAGGGAUGGAGGUGUCAAGAAGGAAUGAAAUGGAGAAAACCAGAGCUAGAUUGUGGACUUUCUUCGCUCCAACUUUUGUGUAAUUAAUGUGCUACACAUGGCCACAUGGAUCUCCAUCUUUUCAUCCUUCACACAGCCCUAGUAACAUCCUUCAAAUACUGGCUCCACAAAACACUUCCUACAGAAACCCAUCCUGACCAAAAAGUCUAUGGCACACACUACUGCAUCUUAAAAACACAAGAAGUUUUUAUUCUUUAAUUUUCCACACAUUUGAUCUUUCUUUGGAUGAUACAAACCUUGAGACUGAGUCACUGUUAUUAUUACUGAAAAUGAACUAAGAUGAUGAUUCUAUUUAACUUACUCAUGUUUCCUUCCUGCCACACCCACAAACAUGCUAGGCCAAGAAAAGGACCCAGAAUUUUUUUCUCUAAGUACACAUUAUGACAAAUAGUAUUAAGGAUAUUUAUAAAUUAGCAAGUUGUUAAGAAUCCUUUGUUUUGAAGAAAUUGUUAAUUUGAAAUUGGCAAUAAGCUACACAGAGAAAUGCUGUAAAUAUAAAUGUGUUUCUGCCUUCAAGUUUCUCCAAAGGUAUUCAAGACUGAUCAUCACUUCUAUAGUAUAUCAUAGAAUAUUUUUUUCCAUUUAAUGGUGUGGCAUUCAGGCGGGAGG
rnacentral:lncRNA from 1 species